rnacentral:lncRNA from 1 species
UGGCCCCACCUGGCGCCGCCUUCGCGCCUUGCGCCGCCUUCGCGCCUUGCGCCCGCGCGUCCGUGCCAUCACCUGGAAGGCUUGUACCGCAGCAGCCCCCGAGGCACCGCGUGGGAUGCGGAGCGCAGGGCGCCGUGGAGCGCGUUCCUCACGGAUUCACGACCGACUCGUUUUUACCGAGAAUCCUCCCGGCCGACCUGUGGGUGACGGCAAAGCGCCGCUCUCGGCAGGCCUUGGAGAGAGGCCAGGGCGGUCGGGACGGCCUCGUCACGCCCACGAGGUGGGCAGUCACCUCCCGGAGGCUAUGUGAUCCUGAUAACAGCUCUGUGAGAUUCGAAAGCCAGGGGCUGGGGCGCAGCCGAGAGGCUGAGGAGGGGCUCUGGGACCCGGGCUCAGCCAGCCUCUCUGCGUUCAUGAGCCCGCGGGAAGAGCUGGGGGUGCACUGGGGGCUGGCAGGGGGCAAAGCCUGGAGCCUUGGAGGGUGGGUGGGCUCUUGGGCGGGCUGGGAGAAGUCCUGUUCCCGGAGGGGAGAAGGGCGGAGGCAGGGCCUUGGCAAGCGAGCAGGCCGCUUAGCGUUCCCCAGUUAGGGCUCCCCGAGGCCGGGCGAAUGGGGCCUGGGUCGGGCUCGGCAGAGCAACACCCAGUCGUCGUUUCAGAAGUGGAGUCGCCGAGCAGAAGGCGUCCAGCAGACAGGAAGUCCACCACAGAGCUGGGCCCUGGAGAUAACGUUCCCUUCAGCCGCUGCCCCUUGAGCCGCUUGUCCCGGGCCCUGGGGGGCGAAGAAGCAGGAGCGGCCGCCGUGGGGGCUUCGUGCCAGUGCCACCUCCGGUUCCCCCGGUCGCUCCAGGCACCUGCGCCCUGGCAUCUCAGCAGCCACACUGCCCACGAGCGCUUGAGUGGGGUCCCGGUGGGGUUUCAGGUGUAGCCAGCGAGGGCCCCAGCUCUGGCCGUGUUCGGGGCCGUGAGGGCCUUUGAGCUGUGGCCCUGCCCCUGCCCCGGGGAGCUUACCUCCCGCAGGGCAGGCAUGCGGGGACCUGGCCACCAGGCCGCAGCCUCCUGCAGUGUGCUCAGUACCAGGCGGGCGCCGAGCUCUGACAAGGCAGUGAGGCUUGGCAGGGACUUCCUGUCUCCUGAGAGCCUGGAGGAGGUGAGGACUCACCUUUGGAUAGUGCCAAGGAAGGCGUUGGAGAGGAGGGGAGCAGACAGAGGGAUUCUGUGUGAAUUCAGCUAUUAGCAUCCAGCCAAGAACGUUUUAAAAAAGGAGGAGAACCACAAAGAAACAGUAUGCGGUUUAAGGGAAGCGGGCAUUUUUGUUCACGCUUGGUCAG